GGAAGAGAGAUAGUUAAUAGUCACAGUUUUGGGGACUGACAGCAGAAACUUGCUUAUGCUCAGGUUAUGUUGCGCAUAGAACGCGUCGUGCUGAAUAAAAAAGAGCAGGCCUGUUAGAGUGUUACUGACAUAAGAAGGAAACAAAACUUACUUGACACAAGAAUUACCUGAACAUUUAACCAAAAGCUGUUGGGUUUCAACUGCAUAGCGAUAUCUUGUACUGUUGAAAUGCCGUACUGGUUGUUGUCGAAUGCAUCUGACCGUGAUAGUAUUCCUCGUAUCA